GAAAUGCGAUACUUGGUGUGAAUUGCAGAAUCCCGUGAACCAUCGAGUAUUUGAACGCAAGUUGCGCCCGAGGCCUUCUGGUCGAGGGCACGUCUGCCUGGGCGUCACGCACAGCGUCGCCCCCAACCACACAUGCUGUGGAAGGGGAGCGGAGAUUGGCCCCCCGAGCCCCACCGGGCACGGUCGGCACAAAUGCCUGUCCCUGGCAGCGGUCGCCGCGGUCAAGUGGUGGCUUCAAAUACCAUUUCGGUGACUGGUUGGCGCCGCGGCCCUAGUUGGGACAGAAUCGACCCGCAGAGGCCGUUUCGACGGCGUUCUUCAUCGAUGCUCAGGAACACCAAC
rnacentral:misc_RNA from 1 species